AAGAGUUGUGGGAAUAUAUUUUGUAAAAAUAGUACUAUUCACACGCAUUUCAUAGACACACACUCAAUUCUCAGUCAUCUCUAUUCCUCUCAAAUACACUCACUCACGCAUUUUAGAAUAGAGAGAAAAGCAUCUAAAUUUUUGGGAAUUCAAAUUCAGAUUCAAAAAGCUCCAGAAAACCAAAAACAAAAACAAACAAAAAAAUAAAAAAUCUCUCAAAGUAAUUUUGAUUUGUGCUAGACUAUUUUGGUUAAGUUCUGGGUUUUCGAGUUGCUUUUGGAUUUAAAAUCAAGUCUGUUGCUGGAAUCUCUGCUGUUUUUUUCUGUUUUUGUUACUGAUUUUUCUGUUGUUUGGAAGCUGGACUUCAUUCUUCUUCUUCAAACCCUUAUUUGGUCGUUACUCUGCUAUUGUUGCUUUUAGGCAUGUAAAUCUUCACAUGUUUUCUCCUAUUUGAGUCUAUGGAUGAAACAUUUAUUUACUUGUGUUAAUUUGAUGCCUAAUGUUCUAGAUUCAGCCUGUUUAAACUUCAACUUGCCUGUAUUUUCCUUUUGAUCAAUACCUCAUGUUAUUCAUGUGAUUGGGUUGAAUGUUGAAUUGAAGCUCUGUUUGAUGUUUAUGAAACUAUGAAAUUGAUUACCACUCAUUUGAAUUCAUAUGAUUGUUUAUAUUGAAAGUCAUUCCACGCAGUCCUAAUUGCUUAUUUGAGAUCCCAAGAGCAUGUUGAAUAAUAGUGUUCAAACGGGAGCUGUAGGAAGCAGUAAUACACAAUAGUGUAGUCAAAGGCAAAAGCUCUAAAAAUUUCUCUAGGACUAUUUGGGCUUUAAGUGCAAAGCACACUUAAAGUGUGGGCUUUAGUUAAAAAAGGCACAAUGAAGGAAAUAAAUAAAAAUUUGUAUGUAUUUCAAGACAAAGCAACAAAUUCAUUUAUAAUAUUUUCUUUAGCAGUUAAUACACUUAUUUCUAAUUAUAGUUAUUGUUUAGUGCCGCUUGAUUCAAGAGAGAACUCAUGGACAAUGAGGCGCACGCCUCAGCCUUACACUGAAGUGCAACUAAAGCGAGGUGAAGCGCCCUCCUCGAGCUUUUCUGAGCUUCAGGGCUUAAGCAUGCCUUAAAUGAGCCUUUGACAACACUGGCUUGCAUGUCUACUUGUUUCAGUAUUUUCUUUUAUUUCCCAGCUUGGUAUAUUGUAUUGAUAAUGCUUUCAUAUGUGUGGCUUCCACAAACUGAGGCUACAAUCAUUCCAUUUCUAUGUGGAUGAUGGUCGAGAACAAAGAUUGUUGAUUUUCCAUUGCAGGCUAAGUAGUGUCUUAUAGCUUUUGAAAAAAUGGUUGAAAAGCAAAUGUUUACCACCCUUUUGGCAAAUAGUUCAUCAGAAAUUAUGAUCGGUCGGUAUAUGACCUAGCAAUGUGUAAAUUAUGAUCCGUCGGUAUAUGACCUAGAGAUGUGUUGUGAAUUAGCUCACCUACUCCCACAAGUUAUUUGAUAGAGAAAUUUAUCUUGGUUACUAAAGCUAAACUCUUGCUUUAGUAACCUCAUCAUCAUAUAGUAACACAAGGAUGCACUCUUUCAAGUACAACAUAGUGAUGUCAUCACCAGAAUGCUUCUAAAACUAUAUAGUACUUUGUGAUUAAUUUUAAUGAUGUAUUUAAUUUCUUUUCUCUUGCAUUCUUUAAACAGGUGGGGGCACAAACUUCAAUCAACACAGUGGGCCUUUAUUUUGUUUAAGUUGGGAGUAAUUCCUUGUUUCCGCAAUUAAGGAUUAAAAGCAAACUCGGAAGUAUUUCACAAUCUUGGAUGACAUUGAAGGAGCCACUUGGUAUGUGGGGUGACAAGUAUAUCACUUCUAAAGGAAUGCUGGAGCAUCUAAAUGUGACAAAAGACCAGUCUGAUUACCUGUGGUAUUUGACCAAGUAUUUCAAACUUAUAAAUGAGAUCUAGGUAUUGGAGGCAGCGGACUUAGGCAGUGAGAGCUUACUUGACUACGAGAAUUCAAGAUUUGACCCGUUUGGAUGUCGAUUCAAGAGGCAAUAGCUUUUUAGAGUAUUGAUUUGGCUUAUUUGAGACCCAAGUAUUGGAGGCAACAGACAUAGGCAGUGAGAGCUUACUUGACUGCGAGGAUUCAGGGUAGAGCUGCAUUACCCACGCGGUACCUUGAAGUCCUAUCCUUAUAUUGAUUUUGUCGUUUUAUUAUCCGAACAGUAUUGUACUUUGAGAUAUUCUUAUGUAUUCUGUUAGAGCUCGUGACUCUGUACUUUCUUGUUCUAGGAAUGAUUUGAGUAUAGCUACUAUGACUUGUAUCA